UACGUAGGGGCGAGCGUUGUCCGGAAUCAUUGGGCGUAAAGAGCGUGUAGGCGGUUCGGUAAGUCUGCCGUGAAAACCUGGGCUCAACCCUGGCGUGCGGUGGAAACUGUCGAGCUAGAGGAUGGUAGAGGGGAGUGGAAUUCCCGGUGUAGCGGUGAAAUGCGCAGAUAUCGGGAGGAACACCAGUAGCGAAGGCGGCUCCCUCGGGCCCAUUCCUGACGCUGAGACGCGAAAGCGUGGGAGCAACAGGA
rnacentral:rRNA from 1 species